UACGUAGGGUGCGAGCGUUUGUCCGGAAUUAUUGGGCGUAAAGAGCUCGUAGGCGGUGUGUCGCGUCGGCCGUGAAAACCUGCAGCUUAACUGUGGGCUUGCGGUCGAUACGGGCAUCACUGGAGUUCGGCAGGGGAGACUGGAAUUCCUGGUGUAGCGGUGAAAUGCGCAGAUAUCAGGAGGAACACCGGUGGCGAAGGCGGGUCUCUGGGCCGUAACUGACGCUGAGGAGCGAAAGCGUGGGGAGCGAACAGG
rnacentral:rRNA from 1 species